AUUGAACGCUGGCGGCAGGCCUAACACAUGCAAGUCGAGCGGCAGCGGAAAGUAGCUUGCUACUUUGCCGGCGAGCGGCGGACGGGUGAGUAAUGUCUGGGAAACUGCCUGAUGGAGGGGGAUAACUACUGGAAACGGUAGCUAAUACCGCAUAACGUCGCCAGACCAAAGAGGGGGACCUUCGGGCCUCUUGCCAUCCGAUGUGCCCAGAUGGGAUUAGCGAGUAGGUGGGGUAACGGCUCACCUAGGCGACGAUCCCUAGCUGGUCUGAGAGGAUGACCAGCCACACUGGAACUGAGACACGGUCCAGACUCCUACGGGAGGCAGCAGUGGGGAAUAUUGCACAAUGGGCGCAAGCCUGAUGCAGCCAUGCCGCGUGUAUGAAGAAGGCCUUCGGGUUGUAAAGUACUUUCAGCGGGGAGGAAGGUGUUGAGGUUAAUAACCUCAGCAAUUGACGUUACCCGCAGAAGAAGCACCGGCUAACUCCGUGCCAGCCGCCGCAGUAA
rnacentral:rRNA from 1 species